GUGGCGCCGUCCUUAACACGUGUCAUUACGAAUGUAAGACACGUAAGAUUCAGACCUGUUUCUAUCACAUAACUAAUCAUUUGUUCCUCAUCUGAUUUAUCCGCUUGCACGGGUCCACCCAAAGCCGUUGGCUGUCGUUUCUUUUACCUCAUCACCUUUCGGCUUAAGAAGGCAAAAGAGGUAGCACUUGAUUUGGAGUCAGAUUCACAUGCAUGCCUAUUUGUCUACUGCGCGAGGGAGAGAGAGCCUUUUGUUCAAAUCCCAAGACCAUCUAUCCAUUAACCCUUUC